GGGGGUAUAGCUCAGCUGGUAGAGCAUCUGUUUUGCAUGCAGAAGGUCAGCGGUUCGAUCCCGCUUGCCUCCACCA
rnacentral:tRNA from 1 species